UGGAUGUGUGAUGUUCUUUAAGCGGC
rnacentral:piRNA from 1 species